GAUGAACGCUAGCUACAGGCUUAACACAUGCAAGUCGAGGGGUAACAAGAGGAAGCUUGCUUUUCUUGUUGACGACCGGCGCACGGGUGAGUAACGCGUAUCCAACCUGCCUAUAACUAGGGAAUAACCUUGCGAAAGUAAGACUAAUACCCUAUGAUUUCCUUUGAUGACAUCAGAUUAGGAAUAAAGAUUUAUCGGUUAUAGAUGGGGAUGCGUCUGAUUAGCUUGUUGGCGGGGUAACGGCCCACCAAGGCAACGAUCAGUAGGGGUUCUGAGAGGAAGGUCCCCCACAUUGGAACUGAGACACGGUCCAAACUCCUACGGGAGCAGCAGUGAGGAAUAUUGGUCAAUGGGCGGAAGCCUGAACCAGCCAAGUAGCGUGCAGGAUGACGGCCCUAUGGGUUGUAAACUGCUUUUAUACAGGAAUAAAGUUAGCCACGUGUGGUUAUUUGUAGGUACUGUAUGAAUAAGGACCGGCUAAUUCCGUGCCAGCAGCCG
rnacentral:rRNA from 1 species